rnacentral:rRNA from 1 species
AACGAACGCUGGCGGCGUGCUUAACACAUGCAAGUCGAACGGAAAGGCCCUGCUUUUGUGGGGUGCUCGAGUGGCGAACGGGUGAGUAACACGUGAGUAACCUGCCCUUGACUUUGGGAUAACUUCAGGAAACUGGGGCUAAUACCGGAUAGGAGCUCCUGCUGCAUGGUGGGGGUUGGAAAGUUUCGGCGGUUGGGGAUGGACUCGCGGCUUAUCAGCUUGUUGGUGGGGUAGUGGCUUACCAAGGCUUUGACGGGUAGCCGGCCUGAGAGGGUGACCGGCCACAUUGGGACUGAGAUACGGCGCAGACUCCUACGGGAGGCAGCAGUGGGGAAUAUUGCACAAUGGGCGGAAGCCUGAGGCAGCAACGCCGCGUGCGGGAUGACGGCCUUCGGGUUGUAAACCGCUUUCGCCUGUGACGAAGCGUGAGUGACGGUAAUGGGUAAAGAAGCACCGGCUAACUACGUG